rnacentral:rRNA from 1 species
UACGUAGGGUGCGAGCGUUAAUCGGAAUUACUGGGCGUAAAGUGUGCGCAGGCGGCGUUGCAAGUCGAGUGUGAAAUCCCUGGGCUUAACUUGGGAACUGCGCUCGAAACUACGAUGCUGGAGUGUGGCAGAGGAAGGUGGAAUUCCACGUGUAGCGGUGAAAUGCGUAGAGAUGUGGAGGAACACCGAUGGCGAAGGCAGCCUUCUGGGCCAACACUGACGCUCAUGCACGAAAGCGUGGGUAGCGAACAGG